UCAAGCUACAAAGAGCGUAUGGUGGAUGCCUUGGCACUAGGCGCCGAAGAAGGACGCGAUAAGCUGCGAUAAUCUACGGGAAGCUGCACAUAAGCUAUGAUCCGUAGGAUUCCGAAUGAGGGAACUCACCGUUCUUAAUCGAACGGUAUCCGAUACACGAAUACAUAGUGUACGGAGGGGAACCAUGGGAAUUGAAACAUCUUAGUACCAUGAGGAAGAGAAAGAAAAAUCGAUUUCCUAAGUAGUGGUGAGCGAAAGGGAAAGAGCCCAAACCGUUGGUGGUAACACCGGCGGGGUUAGGACUGACAUCACGUACAAGUCUAGUUAGUUAAAGAUGGCUGGAAAGCCGCACGAAACAGGGUAAUAGUCCCGUAAACGAAAACAUAGAUUUGGCAGUCAGUAUCCAGAGUAACGCAGGGCACGUGAGAUCCGGCGUGAAGAUAGGAGAACCAUCUCCGAAGGCUAAAUACGACCUAGUGACCGAUAGAGUAUAGUACCGUGAGGGAAAGGUGAAAAGUACCCCGGGAGGGGAGUGAAAUAGUACCUGAAACCAUAUGUUUACAAUCAGUAGAAGCACUAUGGGCUUGCCCAGUGCGACUGCGUAAUUUUUGCAUACUGACCGGCGAGUUACGGUAUGUAGCAAGGUUAAGAGAUUAAGUCUCGGAGCCGAAGCGAAAGCGAGUUUGAAAUGAGCGAUUUAAGUUGCAUGUCGUAGACCCGAAACCCGUUGACCUAACCAUGAGCAGGAUGAAGCGAAGGUAACACUUCGUGGAGGUCCGAACCAGGGUUCACUGAAAAGGACUUGGAUGACUUGUGGUUAGCGGUGAAAUUCCAAUCGAAACGGGAUAUAGCUGGUUCUCCUCGAAAUAGCUUUAGGGCUAGCCUUGAUUUUAGAUUACUGGGGGUAGAGCACUGAAUGACUGAGGGGGUUUCGCGACCUACCAAUUUCUAUCAAACUCCGAAUACCAGAUAAUUAUAAUCAGGAGUCAGACUAUGAGCGAUAAGGUCCAUGGUCGAAAGGGAAAGAGCCCAAAUCUACGUCUAAGGUCCCUAAGUUAAAGUUAAGUGUAAAAGGAUGUCUUGUUACUAAAACAACCAGGAUGUUGGCUCAGAAGCAGCCAUUCAUUUAAAGAGUGCGUAAUAGCUCACUGGUCGAGCGAUGGGGCGCCGAAGAUACACGGGGCUAAAACUUUACACCGAAGACUAGGGUUACACUUUUGUGUAACGGUAGGGGAGCGUCGUAUGUGGGCUGAAGCUACACCGAAAGGAGUGGUGGACCGCAUACAAGAGAGAAUGCCGGUAUGAGUAGCGAGAGUGGAGUGAGAAUCUCCACCGCCGAAUAUCCAAGGUUUCCUGGGGAAGGUUCGUCCUCCCAGGGUAAGUCGGGACCUAAGUCGAGAGCGAACGCUGUAGAUGAUGGACAGCUGGUAGAUAUUCCAGCACCACCGCAUAUCGAUUAAGAGUCGAUGCAGGGACGCAGUAGGAUAGUCAAUCCGUACGGAUGGAAAUGUACGGCCAAAUCAUGAGGCUGUGAUGUAGUGAAGUACGCAUCACAUUAAGGCUGGGUGAUGAUGGGGAGUGAAAUUUAGUAAUGAAGUUGAUGAAUUCACACUGACUAGAAAAUCUGCUAGAUAGAUAUGAGGUGCCCGUACCGUAAACCGACACAGGUGGAUGAUGAGAGAAUCAUAAGGCGGUCGAGUUAACCGUUGUUAAGGAACUAGGCAAAAUUACCCCGUAACCUCGGGAGAAGGGGAGCCCACCUUUGGUGGGCCGCAGUGAAAAGACCCAGGCGACUGUUUACCAAAAACACAGCUCUCUGCUAAAUCGUAAGAUGAUGUAUAGGGGGCGAUGCCUGCCCGGUGCUGGAAGGUUAAGAGGAGGAGUUAGCACUCGAUGCGAAGCCCUGAAUUUAAGCCCCAGUGAACGGCGGCCGUAACUAUAACGGUCCUAAGGUAGCGAAAUUCCUUGUCGGGUAAGUUCCGACGCGCAUGAAUGGCAUAACGAUCUGGGUACUGUCUCAACAAUGGACUCGGCGAAAUUGGAGUAUACGUGAAGAUGCGUAUUACCUGCAACUGGACGAAAAGACCCCGUAGAGCUUUACUGUAGCUUGAUAUUGGGUUUCGAUUGUAGAUGUACAGGAUAGGUGGGAGACCUUGAAGCGGUCACGUCAGUGGUCGUGGAGUCGUCGUUGGGAUACCACCCUUCUGCAGUUGGAAUUCUAACUCUGUGCCGUAAUCCGGGCAGAGGACAGUGUCUGGUGGGCAGUUUGACUGGGGCAGUCACCUCCCAAAAAGUAAUGGAGGUGCCCAAAGGUUCCCUCAGAACGGUUGGAAACCGUUUGUUGAGUGUAAAGGCAUAAGGGAGCUUAACUGUAAGACUUACAAGUCGAGCAGAUACGAAAGUAGGGCUUAGUGGUCCGGCGGUAGAAUGUGGAAUUGCCGUCGCUUAUCGGAUAAAAGUUACCUCGGGGAUAACAGGCUGAUACCUUCCAAGAGUUCACAUCGACGAAGGUGUUUGGCACCUCGAUGUCGGCUCGUCAUAUCCUGGAGCUGUAGUCGGUUCCAAGGGUUGGGCUGUUCGCCCAUUAAAAUGGCACGCUAGCUGGGUUCAAAACGCCGUGAGGCAGUUUGGUCUCUAUCCGUUGCAGGCGUAGGAUAUUUGAGAGGAGCUGUCCCUAAUACGAGAGGACUGGGAUGGACGUACCAAUGGUGUACCUGUUGUUGCGCCAGCAGCAUUGCAGGGUAGCGAUGUACGGAAGGGAUAAACGCUGAAAGCAUCUAAGUGUGAAACCCGCCUCAAGAUGAGAUAUCCCACAGCGUUAGGCUGGUAAGACCCCUUAAAGAUUAUGAGGUUGAUAGGUCGGAGGUGUAAGUGCAGUAAUGCAUUUAGCUGACCGAUACUAAUAGGUCGAGGGCUUGAU
rnacentral:rRNA from 1 species